rnacentral:lncRNA from 1 species
CAAAGGGUAAAAAAAUACGUACUGCUGAAAAAUUGUCAUAUUUUCCUUUUUUUUCUAUCUUUUAUGAGUAAUUUUCUUUCUUAUCUAUCAAAUGUGCGGAACAAUUGAUUUCUGAUAUAGGUUAAUCUUUUGAAGGUUACACAUCUCUAACUUGUUUAUUUUGUUACUCUAUUCAUCUGUGUUUCCUCUUAUUUUUAAUUUUAUUCUUGCAUCACCAAUGAUUAUGAUAGGGUUUUUCGUAUUGUUUUGAUGAGAUUGAGAUGUUUUUUAGGAUUAUGAGGAUCUCACAAUAAGAAAGGUGGUACUAAUGUAACACUACAAAAAUGAUUGGGUUUGUUUCCUUUAAUACAUACGGUCUCAUUUUCAUUGUCUUGUAAUUAUUCUUUUUUCUAUUUUUCUUUUUCAUUUUCUUGUAAUCAUUCUGUUUUCUUUUUUUCUUUUUCAUUUUCUAAUUAUAAUAAUUAGUAUUUUUGCAUAUUUUUUAAUCUAUAUAACUUAUGUUAAUCGUUUAAUUAUUAGAAUAUAGAAGAUGACAUUUUGUUCUUUAGGAUAUAAGUAUAUAAUUAAUUAAUUUUGAUGUUCAAUACAUAUCUUUCUAAACUAAUUAAUGUCAAGGUUUGUUACUCAUUACAUGUUUGAUUAUUUAUAUAAUUGAGGAUUUACUUAAUAUAAAUAUUUAGCUUACAAUAUUUAAUAGAUAUCUCUGGUUCAUAAUCAUAUUAUGAUUGUAUAAACAAAAAUACGUACUGCUGAAAAAUUGUCAUGUUUUCCUUUUUUUUUUUCUAUCUUUUAUGAGUAAUUUUCUUUCUUAUCUAUCAAAUGUGCGGAACAAUUGAUUUCUGAUAUAGGUUAAUCUUUUGAAGGUUACACAUCUCUAACUUGUUUAUUUUGUCACUCUAUUCAUCUGUGUUUCCUCUUAUUUUCAAUUUUAUUCUUGCAUCACCAAUGAUUAUGAUAGGGUUUUUCGUAUUGUUUUGAUGAGAUUGAGAUGUUUGUUAGGAUUAUGAGGAUCUCACAAUAAUAAAGGUGGUGCUAAUGUAACACUAGAAAAAUGAUUGGGUUGGUUUCCUUUAAUACAUACGGUCUCAUUUUCAUUGUCUUGUAAUUAUUCUAUUUUCUUUUUUUCUUUUUCAUUUUCUUGUAAUUAUUCUUUUUUCUUUUUUUCUUUUUCAUUUUCUACUUAUAAUUAGUAUUUUAGCAUAUUUUUUAAUCUAUAUAACUUAUGUUAAUCGUUUAAUUAUCAGAAUAUAGAAGAUGACAUUUUAUGUUCUUUAGGAUAUAAGUAUAUAUUUAAUUAAUUUUGAUGUUCAAUACAUAUCUUUCUUUCUCUACCAUGAGUAUAAUUUUAUAAUGCAACUUCUAUCUUAUAUUUCUUUUAUUGGAGUAUAAAUAUAGCAUGCCAGAUUAAAACAUAAUUUUGAAAUUAUCGAUGAUAUAUUUCAUUUUUAUCAUUUUAAAAUUAUAAUAUAUUACUUAUAUUUAUCAUUUUAAAAAAAUACGUACUCCUGAAAAAUUGUCAGAUUUUCCUUUUUUCUAUCUUUUAUGAGUAAUUUUCUUUCCUAUCUAUCAAAUGUACGGAACAAUUAACUUCUGAUAUAGGUUAAACUUUUGAAGGUUACACAUCUCUAAUUUGUUUAUUUUGUUACUCUAUUCAUUUGUGUUUCCUCUUAUUUUCAAUUUUAUUCUUGCAUCACCAAUGAUUAUGAUAGGGUUUUUCGUUUUGUUUUGAUGAGAUUGAGAUGUUUGUUAGGAUUAUGAGGAUCUCACAAUAAUAAAGGUGGUGCUAAUGUAACACUAGAAAAAUGAUUAGGUUGGUUUCUUUUAAUACAUACGGUCUAAUUUUCAUUGUCUUGUAAUUAUUCUUUUUUCUUUUUUUCUUUUUCUUUUUCUUGUAAUUAUUCUGUUUUCUUUUUUUCUUUUUCAUUUUCUACUUAUAAUUAGUAUUUUAGCAUUUUUUUAAUAUGUAAGUUAUGUUAAUUGUUUAAUUAUCAGAAUAUAGAAGAUGCCAUUUUAUGUUCUUUAGGAUAUAAAUAUAUAUUUAAUUAAUUUUGAUGUUUCAAUACAUAUCUUUCUUUCUCUACCAUGAGUAUAAUUUUAUAAUGCAACUUCUAUCUUAUAUUUCUUUUAUUGGAGUAUAAAUAUAGCAUGCCAGAUUAAAACAUAAUUUCAAAAUUAUCGAUGAUAUAUUUCAUUUUUAUCAUUUUAAAAUUAUAAUAUAUUACUUAUAUUUAUCAUUUUCAAAAAAUACGUACUGCUGAAAAAUUGUCAUAUUUUCCUUUUUUUUCUAUCUUUUAUGAGUAAUUUUCUUUCUUAUCUAUAAAAUGUACAGAUCAAGUGAUUUUUGAUAUAGGUUGAUCU